rnacentral:lncRNA from 1 species
GCGGGAAGAGCCCCCAGCCCGGCAGCCGGCCCCGCGGGAAGGCGCAGCCCGGGCUUCCGAACCCUGUGAACGCGCAGGUUCCUGGUCUUCCAAAUGGGCAGGAAUCGUCCUGCCCGCCCGGGGUGGGAGGCCACACGGGGGCACUGCGCCCGGGCGCGGCCCCAGGUGCUUUCCAAAUGCCCACUGCCGCUCUCAUCCGUACCAGCGAUGAUCAAGAAGGGGCCUGGUCGCCCGGGGAGGUGCCCCGGCCGGAAUCGACUCCGGAGACAACGCCGGGCGACGCCACCUGCGCAGGUCCCGGAGGGCCGCUUGAGUCUGUGUGCAGGGCGUGCUGUCUGUGGAAACGCGAGGGCACACUAGCACUUUCCUACUGCCUCUGUCACCGGGUCCCUCCAUCCGUGUCUCCUGUGCGGCCAGCGUCAGAGCCAUGGCGACGGAGGAGAAGAAGCCCGAGACCGAGGCCGCCAGAGCACAGCCAACCCCUUCGUCAUCCGCCACUCAGAGCAAGCCUACACCUGUGAAGCCAAACUAUGCUCUGAAGUUCACCCUUGCUGGCCACACCAAAGCAGUGUCCUCCGUGAAAUUCAGCCCGAAUGGAGAGUGGCUGGCAAGUUCAUCUGCUGAUAAACUUAUUAAAAUUUGGGGCGCGUAUGAUGGGAAAUUUGAGAAAACCAUAUCUGGUCACAAGCUGGGAAUAUCCGAUGUAGCCUGGUCGUCAGAUUCUAACCUUCUUGUUUCUGCCUCAGAUGACAAAACCUUGAAGAUAUGGGACGUGAGCUCGGUAAGUGACACUCAGUGCUUCUCUCCAGGGGAGACCGGCUGCAGGGCACGGGGCAGAUGCGG